rnacentral:rRNA from 1 species
UACGUAGGGUGCGAGCGUUGUCCGGAAUUAUUGGGCGUAAAGAGCUCGUAGGCGGUUUGUCGCGUCUGCUGUGAAAACGCGAGGCUCAACCUCGCGCCUGCAGUGGGUACGGGCAGACUAGAGUGCGGUAGGGGAGAUUGGAAUUCCUGGUGUAGCGGUGGAAUGCGCAGAUAUCAGGAAGAACACCAGUGGCGAAGGCGGCUUCUGGUCCGGUACUGACGCUGAGGUGCGAAAGCGUGGGGAGCAAACAGG